ensembl:rRNA 5S_rRNA 5S ribosomal RNA
GUCUACGGCCAUACCACCCUGAACACGCCCAAUCUCAUCUGAUUUAGGAAGCUAAGCAGGGUUGUGCCUGGUUAGUACUUGGAUGGGAGAAUGGCAAGUAUUCAAGGCA